UGAAACAUAUAUUCCCAUACGAUCAACAAUGUUAAGCAACGUCGAGCCUGGUCAGUACCUAGAUGGGUUACCGCUUGGGAAUAGCAGUUGCUGUAA
rnacentral:rRNA from 1 species